rnacentral:rRNA from 1 species
UGCGCCUUGCCAGCCCGCUCAGAAACUUAAAGGAAUUGACGGGGCCGCACAAGCAGUGGAGCAUGUGGUUUAAUUCGAUGCAACGCGAAGAACCUUACCUAGGCUUGAAAUGCAGUGGACCGGGUAUGAAAGUACCCUUCCCUUCGGGGCCGCUGUACAGGUGCUGCAUGGCUGUCGUCAGCUCGUGCCGUGAGGUGUUGGGUUAAGUCUCGCAACGAGCGCAACCCCUACUAUUAGUUGCCAUCAGGUUAUGCUGGGCACUCUAAUGGGACUGCCUACGCAAGUAGUGAGGAAGGUGGGGAUGACGUCAAGUCAGCAUGGCCCUUACGCCUAGGGCUACACACGUGCUACAAUGGGUACUACAACGGGUUGCUAAGCCGCAAGGUGGAGACCAAUCCCUUAAAGGUAUCCUCAGUUCGGAUUGGAGUCUGCAACUCGACUCCAUGAAGUUGGAAUUGCUAGUAAUCGCGUAUCAGCGCGACGCGGUGAAUACGUUCCCGGGCCUU